GGCAGUUCAAGAAUCUUAAAGUAGUAUUGAUGAAUCUGAAGACCAAGAUUCAUGCCCGUGGGUCAUUUGGUCCUGAUUUCCAACAGACGAAGUUCCAGAACUCUUUAAAAUGGUUAAGGGAUGUGGUGCGGAAGUUACAUUCGACAUAUAAAAGACGGAAUGAUGCUGCUGGUGACGUGAUACACAUAUAUGCGCG